rnacentral:misc_RNA from 1 species
GCUAGCUUAGUUAACUUGGUGAAAUUGGACUUGGAGAGGUGUCCUGGCAUUGGCGAUGGACUUGUUCAUCUCAAAGGGUUGACAAAGUUGGAGUCUCUUAGUAUCAAAUGGUGUAACUGCAUAAAGGAUGCAGAUAUGAAGCAUCUUUCAGGGUUGACAAACUUGAAAGGAUUACAAAUUUCAUGCAGCAAGGUUACAGAUGUGGGUAUUUCUUAUUUGAAAGGUCUCCAUAAGCUUAAUCUAUUAAACUUGGAAGGGUGUCCAGUCACGGCUGCAUGCUUGGAGACUAUCUCAGCUCUUACUUCUUUGUUGUAUUUGAAUCUUAACCGAUGCCAUAUUUCUGAUGAUGGAUGCGAGGGGUUUUCGAAGCUCGGAAAACUAAAGGCGCUAAACUUGGGCUUCAAUGACAUCACGGAUGCAUGCUUGGUGCACCUGAAAGGCUUGACAAAUUUGGAGAGCGU